rnacentral:lncRNA from 1 species
GAUAUUUGUACGGUUGAAAUUUUAUUAAUAAUCAAUUUACGAAUCUUAAUUAAUCCGUACGACCAUUAAUACAAGACUAAAAUCCAAAAAACAAUCCACGUGUAUCCACGUCACAAAUCAUAUAGAGUAAAAUCCAUCCUUAUCAUCAUUUACAAACAUACGUACUACGUACGUAUAGUACGUACGAUAACAACAUGCAUGCAUGCAAAAAAGUAGGUUAUUAUUUAUUUAUUUUUGGAAAGAGACAGUAAAAAGUAAUGAUUAAUAACUGAUAAUAACGGCGAUGAUCGGCGGGAAGAAUGAGCUAGUUAACGGAUGACGAAUUCGUAUAAAUCGGGAUCGGUGAUGUUGGAAAUGAAAGCGUUGUAGUAGUAAAGAUCCCGCCGGUCAACUUGGCCAGAAGGCCACAUGGUUAUGUUGAUGAUGGUUGCUGCGCGUGGCGGUCCGUAGGGCCAUUUGGUGUGACCUAUGAAGUAGGUGAUUCGCGUCGCCGACUCGAACCUAAUUGAGUAGAAGACAAUCAUCUUGGAGAAGUUAAUUGCUCGGGUUGAUUUCUUGCUUUCUUGGCCCAGUUACGACGUUUGUAACAAGAUGAAAUUAGAGAACCGGAAGUUAAUUAGAAGAAGAAAUUAAC